rnacentral:rRNA from 1 species
AUUCGUACGGGAGGCAGCAGUGGGGAAUAUUGGACAAUGGGCGAAAGCCUGAUCUAGCCAUGCCGCGUGAGUGAUGAAGGCCCUAGGGUUGUAAAGCUCUUUUACUCGGGAAGAUAAUGACGGUACCGAGAGAAUAAGCCCCGGCUAACUUCGUGCCAGCAGCCGCGGUAAUACGAAGGGGGCGAGCGUUGUUCGGAUUUACUGGGCGUAAAGCGCUCGUAGGCGGAUCUUUAAGUCAGGGGUGAAAUCCCGGAGCUCAAUUCCGGAACUGCCUUUGAUACUGGGGAUCUCGAGUCCGGGAGAGGUGAGUGGAACUGCGAGUGUAGAGGUGAAAUUCGUAGAUAUUCGCAAGAACACCAGUGGCGAAGGCGGCUCACUGGCCCGGUACCGACGCUGAGGAGCGAAAGCGUGGGGAGCAAACAGGAUUAGAUACCCUGGUAGUCCACGCCGUAAACGAUGGAUGCUAGCCGUUAGGCAGCUUGCUGCUUAGUGGCGCAGCUAACGCAUUAAGCAUCCCGCCUGGGGAGUCCGGUCGCAAGAUUAAAACUCAAAGGAAUGACGGAAU